AUUGAACGCUGGCGGCAUGCCUUACACAUGCAAGUCGAACGGUAACAGGCCGCAAGGUGCUGACGAGUGGCGAACGGGUGAGUAACACAUCGGAACGUGCCUGAUAGUGGGGGAUAACUACUCGAAAGAGUAGCUAAUACCGCAUAAGAUCUCAGGAUGAAAGCAGGGGACCGCAAGGCCUUGCGCUAACAGAGCGGCCGAUGGCAGAUUAGGUAGUUGGUGGGAUAAAAGCUUACCAAGCCGACGAUCUGUAGCUGGUCUGAGAGGACGACCAGCCACACUGGGACUGAGACACGGCCCAGACUCCUACGGGAGGCAGCAGUGGGGAAUUUUGGACAAUGGGCGCAAGCCUGAUCCAGCAAUGCCGCGUGCAGGAUGAAGGCCUCGGUUGUAAC
rnacentral:rRNA from 1 species